rnacentral:rRNA from 2 species
CGUCCUAUUAGCUAGUUGGUGAGGUAAUGGCUCACCAAGGCUACGAUGGGUAGGGGUUCUUAGUGGAAGGUCCCCCACACUGGCACUGAGAUACGGGCCAGACUCCUACGGGAGGCAGCAGUAGGGAAUACUGGUCAAUGGGCGCAAGCCUGAACCAGCCAUGCCGCGUGCAGGAUGAAGGCUCUCUGAGUUGUAAACUGCUUUUGUACAGGAGCAAAAAAAUCCCUGCGGGGGUUCUUGAGAGUACUGUAAGAAUAAGCACCGGCUAAUUCCGUGCCAGCAGCCGCGGUAAUACGGGAGGUGCAAGCGUUAUCCGGUUUUAUUGGGUUUAAAGGGUGCGUAGGCGGCUUAUUAAGUCAGUUGUGAAAUCCUAGUGCUUAACGCUAGAACUGCGAUUGAUACUAUU